UACAGAGGUCUCAAGCGUUGUUCGGAUUCAUUGGGCGUAAAGGGUGCGUAGGUGGCGCCAUAAGUCGGGUGUGAAAUCUCGGGGCUUAACUCCGAAACUGCAUUCGAUACUGUGGUGCUUGAGGACUGGAGAGGAGACUGGAAUUCAUGGUGUAGCAGUGAAAUGCGUAGAGAUCGUAAGGAAGACCAGUGGCGAAGGCGGGUCUCUGGACAGUUCCUGACGCUGAGGCACGAAGGCCAGGGGAGCAAACGGG
rnacentral:rRNA from 1 species